rnacentral:rRNA from 1 species
UACGAAGGGGGCUAGCGUUGCUCGGAAUUACUGGGCGUAAAGCGCACGUAGGCGGAUCUUUAAGUCAGGGGUGAAAUCCUGGAGCUCAACUCCAGAACUGCCUUUGAUACUGAGGACCUUGAGUUCGGGAGAGGUGAGUGGAACUGCGAGUGUAGAGGUGAAAUUCGUAGAUAUUGGGAAGAACACCAGUGGCGAAGGCGGCUCACUGGCUCGUAUCUGACGCUCAGGCGCGAUAGCGUGGGGAUCAAACAGG